rnacentral:antisense_RNA from 1 species
GACCCCGCAGAGACGUGGCUAGAGUAGGGUCUGGAGAGAGCUCUCACUGUGGCGAGUCCUGUCGGUGGAUUCCCGCGGCGCCCCGUGAGGCUCCGCCCCGGCAGUGCCACCAAACCCUGUUCGAUUUUAGAAUCGUACAUUCCCAGAGGGAAUCCUAGACCCCUCAUUUUACAGUUGAGGAAACAGGCCCAAGUAGCAUGACUUGUUCGCGCCGCUAGUCGAAGGAGCAGCAGCCCCGAUCCCUUGACUCCGGGGCAUUGCUUUCCCUUUAGCUCACUUUUGGAGGAAAUGGGUCAGCCCUUGCUCGACCUUUGGUGAUUGCCGCCACAGGCCUUCCCGCCGGCUAACUCAGUGUGCCCAAGUCCCGUGACUUAGUGCCAGGACGGUGCUGUGACCCGUUAUCCCCUGUCGGAUUUUACCUCCCCCCGGGGGAGCUCAGCCCUGGAUCCCGGCGGGCGGCGGAGCCUCUCUGGAGCCCGGACGGGACAGCCCACCAGGGUCUGCUUCUGUGAGGGGCCGAGGCGUCAUUCCGCGAAGCCUUCUCCUUGCUGUCGCCAUGUGAAGAAGGAUGUGUUUGCUUCCCCUUCUGCCAUGAUUGUAAGUUUCCUGAAGCCUCUCCAGCCAUGCCAAACUGAAGCUGCUGGAAGGUACACAUCUUGGGAGUUUGCCCUUUGAAGCUCACCUGUGGACGUUUUUUCCUUCCGAAAAGAAGCAUAAGCUGCAAUAAAAAUUUGGUUUCAAGAUAACAGUCAGUCCCCAAAAAUCAGUAUUGAUAGUCACUGACAUUAAAUGAUGAAGAUACAAGGACAGUGUGGGGACCUUUACUCUUCAAAGAUGAGCUAUACGUGCCCCUGAAAGGCUGUCUGAAGGCAGGGGAAGGCUGGAGAUGGCAACUUUGGCCUCUGCCAAGUACUCAUGCUAUUUUCUGUAUGUGA